AUAAAUGAAAGCUUUGAGGAAUCAACGGGUAACGUUAUUCCGAUAUUAUACAAGGUUACAAAUGUUUUUGCAAGAAAGAUGAAGAGGGCAAUUAUAAAGAAUAACAAAUCAUGUUUUAUGUCUUCUUUCUUACAGUAAAAAUACAAUGGCCAAAAAGAGAAAAGAGGAUACUUUUACACACAUAGAUAAUAUUUAAAAGAAAAAUACUUUUACACACAGGGUUUGCUUAUCAUUUACUGGUCAUUCAUCAAGCUGCCUUUGGUGGUUCAGUUGCUACCGCAGCAGGUACUUCUUCAACUUUGGUUGUCUCUGUUGCUGGCUCUGCUUCCUCUUUCUUCUCAUCUCCAGCUUCAACCACUAUGUCCU
rnacentral:lncRNA from 1 species